rnacentral:rRNA from 1 species
UACGUAGGGGCAAGCGUUGUCCGGAAUCAUUGGGCGUAAAGAGCGUGUAGGCGGCUUGGCAAGUCUGACGUGAAAUCCCGCGGCUCAACCGCGGUAGGUCGUUGGAAACUGCCUCGCUAGAGUCCGGAAGAGGAGAGUGGAAUUCCCGGUGUAGCGGUGAAAUGCGCAGAUAUCGGGAAGAACACCCGUGGCGAAGGCGGCUCUCUGGGACGGUGACUGACGCUGAGACGCGAAAGCGUGGGGAGCGAACAGG